GAUAAUAGGUGUACAAUGUAAGUCCAUACUUUUGUUAUAAGUAGGUGUUCAUGCGGUAUAUUGUUGUAGCUGCCUCGCUUCCUCCAUUGAAAUCGGAGUGGUCCGUUUAAAGAGUCGUAAUUGCUGUUCCACAUUCGAAAUUUCUAUAGGCCGCGGUAAUGAAUUCAACGCGAAACGACUCGCCUAAUUGCCCGUGUUGACUUCACCUGCAAUUAGCAGAUUUUAAACGGGUGUAUUUAUCUUUAAGAAGCAAAUAUUUGCGAUUAGAGAAAAAUGAAUCUAACUUGAAGCUAACGUAUAGCGAAUUUGAUGAAAUUUGAUAGGAUCCUUGGUUCUAGAGGAAACGACGGAUAAAGAUAACCGGUUUGUCAUAAGUUUCGUAAGUACAUAGAAGGACGUAUGUAGAAGAGAAGAAUUUCUGAAUGUAGCAUAAAUAGAACUCGAAAUACUUUCCAUCGCUUUUUUAACCAUGGAUGUUCGUAAAACAUCGUGUCAAUUAGUAUUAUGUCUCAUGCGUUUGACAGAAGGCAUGUCAUCUUCAGAUCGACAAAUGGAACGUAUAUCGAGAGAUUGAUAAACUUGCAUAAUGUCGUUCGUUAUAUGCUCUGUGUAAACUGAUUGUCCCUCCAAUAUCUAAUUUAUGUCAAGUGCGUUCGAACUGUUUUGACAUUUCUAACGAUGUACGUGUAAUGGUAUAGCAUGUUAAAAUUAGAAUAUGACUUGUUUCAAUGAUAACACUAUACGUAUAUAUAGUAUGGAGAUACUGUAUCUGUCCUCAGACAAUCUUUAUUAUUUCUAUUUUUUUAACAAAGCUGUUAAACAAAGGGGAUUAUAUUAAUUUAAACUGGAAUAUACAACUUGCGUUGUUAAUAAUUAAUAAACAAUUUUUAAUUAUA